GUCGAUUGUCUAGAAAGUAGCACAAAAUCUUUCGGUAGUAGUUGAAGCAUCUACGACUACAAAAAUUAUGGGUGUUACUUGAGAUUCGACAAAAUUGGUUUUAUAAAAACAGCGAGUUUAGUCAACAUUGGAAUUAUACAUAUUGUAAAAUCCUCCAAGGAACACCAUUCAAUUUCAAUUGGCUGAAAGAAAGUCCAGUCCUCUGGUUCUUCCACCAUUCGAUCGGAGUCAGUUAUCUUCUAAAUCUUCUAACUGGUCGGCAGGUGACGUCAUUGAUAUUUAAUCAUACUAUCCUCUAAUUUUAAAUUAUAUACAUAAAUAAUAGCCACACAAAGAAACAUUAACAAAAUUAACAGUAGAGAUUACUACAGAACCAAUCAUCGCAGUUACAUAACAUUAUAAUUUACAAAAAUGUUUGGAACUUAGUUCUCUGUGCAUUUUAUGUUUUAAUUUUUUAUUCAUAUUGAAUUAAUUUGGGUGAAAUGUUUCUUUGUAUUUUACCGGCCGAUGACAUUCCUUUGAUAUAAAUUUAGUAAUAUUAAACGAUCAAAUUUGCAAUAAUUCCACGCGUUCGUAAGAUGACUUAUCAUUCAGUAUUUGUAGAAAGAUCAUGAAUAUAUUCGUUUAUUUACAUAAAAGUUAUUACGUCGUAAAAAUGGGAGAGUAUAAAGAAAAUAUAUUUUCAAAUUUUAUUACAAGGCAGAUAAGAAUGCGACACCAGUUAUUAAAACAAUUUGUGAUAUUUAUUGAUCUAUGCGUUACUAAUGGACGUCGCAUAAAGCUACAUCAAACGUUUUCUAUUUGAAAGUUAUGAUGUACGUGAUGCAAAUGACGUCUACAAGGAACUAAACAUCGAUCAUAAAACAGUUUUGAACUGUUUGAAGAAGGCUGUAUACGAAAAAAGAGCCAAUGUUUGUGUGUCGCAUGAUUAAAUAAUGGAAAAUUUAAUGGAACGAAUUUCUAUCUGGGAAUUGUUACUAAAACGUAAUAAAAUCGAAGCAUUCUUGAAACGGCUCAUCAUGGACGAUAAUGUA